GACCGCUCCGGUGGCCUAGUGGUUAGAGCGUCCACCUCGAAUGUGGGAGGUUGCGGGUUUGAGCACCGACCUAGUCA